GUUUAAAUAAUUUAAUUAAAAAUGUUGAUUUUGUAAAUCAAUAUUGACAAUAAGUCUUUAAACA
rnacentral:tRNA from 1 species